rnacentral:rRNA from 1 species
CCUACGGGUAGCAGCAGUGAGGAAUAUUGGUCAAUGGACGGAAGUCUGAACCAGCCAUGCCGCGUGCAGGAAGACGGCUCUAUGAGUUGUAAACUGCUUUUGUACAAGGGUAAACCUGAAUACGUGUAUUCAGCUGAAAGUACUGUACGAAUAAGGAUCGGCUAACUCCGUGCCAGCAGCCGCGGUAAUACGGAGGAUCCAAGCGUUAUCCGGAUUUAUUGGGUUUAAAGGGUGCGUAGGCGGAUUGAUAAGUUAGAGGUGAAAUGUCCGGGCUUAACGCGGGAACUGCCUCUAAUACUGUUGAGCGAGAGAGGAGAUGGGGUAGGCGGAAUGGAUGGGGUAGCGGGGAGAGGCGUAGAGAGGAGAGAG